UACGUAGGGUGCGAGCGUUGUCCGGAAUUAUUGGGCGUAAAGAGCUCGUAGGCGGUCUGUCGCGUCGGUCGUGAAAACUUGGGGCUUAACCCUGAGCUUGCGGUCGAUACGGGCAUGACUGGAGUUCGGCAGGGGAGACUGGAAUUCCUGGUGCAGCGGUGAAAUACGCAGAUAUCAGGAGGAACACCGGUGGCGAAGGCGGGUCUCUGGGCCGAUACUGACGCUGAGGAGCGAAAGCGUGGGGGAGCAAACAGG
rnacentral:rRNA from 1 species